CGUAACAAGGUCUCCGUUGGUGAACCAGCGGAGGGAUCAUUACUGAGUUUACGCUCUACAACCCUUUGUGAACAUACCUAUAACUGUUGCUUCGGCGGGUAGGGUCUCCGUGACCCUCCCGGCCUCCCGCCCCCGGGCGGGUCGGCGCCCGCCGGAGGAUAACCAAACUCUGAUUUAACGACGUUUCUUCUGAGUGGUACAAGCAAAUAAUCAAAACUUUUAACAACGGAUCUCUUGGUUCUGGCAUCGAUGAAGAACGCAGCGAAAUGCGAUAAGUAAUGUGAAUUGCAGAAUUCAGUGAAUCAUCGAAUCUUUGAACGCACAUUGCGCCCGCCAGCAUUCUGGCGGGCAUGCCUGUUCGAGCGUCAUUUCAACCCUCAAGCUCUGCUUGGUGUUGGGGCCCUACAGCUGAUGUAGGCCCUCAAAGGUAGUGGCGGACCCUCCCGGAGCCUCCUUUGCGUAGUAACUUUACGUCUCGCACUGGGAUCCGGAGGGACUCUUGCCGUAAAACCCCCAAUUUUCCAAAGGUUGACCUCGGAUCAGGUAGGAANACCCGCUGAACUUAAGCAUAUCAAUAA
rnacentral:rRNA from 1 species